rnacentral:rRNA from 1 species
AUUGAACGCUAGCGGGAUGCUUUACACAUGCAAGUCGAACGGCAGCGCGAGGAAAGCUUGCUUUUCUUGGCGGCGAGUGGCGAACGGGUGAGUAAUGUAUCGGAACGUGCCCAGUAGCGGGGGAUAACUACGCGAAAGCGUGGCUAAUACCGCAUACGCCCUACGGGGGAAAGGGGGGAGUCGCAAGACCUCUCACUAUUGGAGCGGCCGAUAUCGGAUUAGCUAGUUGGUGAGGUAAAGGCUCACCAAGGCUGCGAUCCGUAGCUGGUUUGAGAGGACGACCAGCCACACUGGGACUGAGACACGGCCCAGACACCUACGGGUGGCAG